rnacentral:rRNA from 1 species
AUGAAGAGUUUGAUCCUGGCUCAGGAUGAACGCUAGCGGCAGGCCUAACACAUGCAAGUCGAACGGUAACAUGUCCUUCGGGAUGAUGACGAGUGGCGCACGGGUGCGUAACGCGUGGGGAUCUACCAUAGGGUGCGGAAUAACUCAGAGAAAUUUGAGCUAAUACCGCAUAAUGUCUUCGGACCAAAGAUUCAUCGCCCUUUGAUGAACCCGCGUAAGAUUAGCUUGUUGGUGAGGUAAAGGCUCACCAAGGCGACGAU